UCAACUGAUGAUGCAAGGUAAAUUGUUACUAUGCUGUGUUCAGCAAAGCUCCAGUUUCUUCAUCAAUGCAGCCUUGAAGUAUGGCAGAUUUUCUGGCAAAAACCUGUCUGCAGAUCCCUUUCUACUGACCACAGCCAUCUCCUACUGAGAAAAACAGAAGAUUCUUUUUUUUUUUUUAAAGAAAAAAAGAGGAUCGGAAAGAAAAUCCGCCACAAUACCCUUCUUGAUGAAUGAAGAUUUCACAUAAUUCUGACAUCACCACUGGAAGCAUUUCCAGAAUACGAAGAAGACUCGAGAUGCAUAACUCAGAAUCUGAUGAUACCAAAGUAUUAUGUAGAAUAGAUAAAAUUUUCCCAGGGUCAUUUUGACAACUGCAGACUUAGCACAGCAGAUAUUUAAUGUUUUAAAAUGAGGACAUUUAUUUAGGGGGCAGUGUCAAAAUUAAAUGGGGUGAGAAAAAUGUAUAUAACUUGCAGCAACAGAAUUUCUGUGUCACGAUACACCUUUUUAAUUUCAUGUCAUGUUAACCACUGCAGACAUAGUACAGCUUAAAUUCCACUUUUGUCUACCCUGCUUGAAUUUAUUGGCCCAUCACUCUGGGUAACACAAAACAGCAUUGGGAUGGGCCAACACAGGUAUCAAUUAAAUUACAUGAGAUCAUCAAGCACAUUAUGAAACCACAGUUAACUAGGCAUUUGUGUUGUACAUUUUUAUAAUAUCCUUUGAACAGAUUUUCCUUAAAAAGUCUAAAAUCAGUCAUUACCAUGUCAGAUUUACACUUGGUAAGGCCCUAAACUACAUAAAGCUCGGAGGUUCCUUAAUACAAACUUACAUGAGACAAGAUACAGAAACAUAUCACAAAAGUUCACACCAAACCAGGAGCCACCACAAAAAAAUUGAAAAUGUGUAUACGCUUUUUAUUUAUUUAAUAACACGGUAUUUAAGUGAAAAAUGCAAAUUAUUUUCAAGUAAAUAUUUAUUGCUUAUAUAUUUAUCAUUUGGUUUGCUUAAUCUCUCCCAUAGGAUAUAAUGUAGUAUAACCUAGAAAUAACAGUUAAUUGUAAUUUUAAAAAUAAUUUAAAAUAGAUUAUUACUUAUUUUGCUGACAAAACAAGUAAUCGCAAUCCCUUUUGUUAAUAUAAGGAAUAAUGAAUUAGUCUGCAAAAUCAGAAAACUGAUAUCAUGUGCAACUUAAAACAUUUCAUUUCUUUAUUUCUCAAAAGCAAACCAUGAAUUAUCUGCUUAAGUGAUACGUUACACAGCUUAACGCUUUCUGGGAAUAUUAAAUUAAUUAUAUUAAAGCCUUUUAAACUACACAUAAAAACUUGUUACACAAGUUUUUACAAACUACGGUAUACAUGAAAAGUCACAUAGAAUUUUAAAAGCAAAAAAAGAGAAAGAAAGAAAGAAAGAAAGAAAGAAAGAAAGAAAGAAAGAAAGAAAGAAAGAAAGAAAGAAAGCCCAAACUGAAAUUUUAAAGGAUUGUGGGCCCUAAACUGUAGUUUAUUUAGUUUAUACCUAAAUCUGGCACUGGCGAUUACUUUUUCAAUUCUUCAAUAUGCUAUUAUUGUUAAAAAAUAAGCAUGAAAGUUAUGCAAUAAUUACAUUACUUAUUAUUUAUUUAAUAAAUACCAUUAAAAUAUUUAUUUAAUAAAUAAUGUAAAUUAUAUAAUAUGUGGCUUGUCACUAAAGAUCAUAAAAUGAGCAUAUUGUAAAAUGAGUGUAUUGUACGAUAUAUUAAUGAACAUAUUGUACAGUUUAUUAAAGUUAGGAAGGUUUUUUUGUACUUUCAAGUCACUCUUGGUUCCUGGAUGCUGCAUAGAUACAUUUUUAUAAACUUUUUAAGCAAUGCUUUCAAGAAUUGCUUGCUGUUGCCUUCUUCCUUCCUAGCGUUAAAAGAAAGGGACUCACCCAAAGUCAUCUGAAUAGCUUUGUGUCUAUGACAGAACCAGAAUAUUCAAUCUCUGAGUUUCUAGCAUGGUGUGUUUCACCCCUUCACAAGCUAGCUCUCAAAUUAAAUUUAUUUAUUAUUAAAACCAUAUCAAGCCAUGUUUCUACUAAAGAAAAGUAGAAGCUGCAAGUAGCUUACAAAACUUAAAAUAAUACAGUACUACAAUAUCAUGUAAAAUUUGCAGGAACAUUUGAACAAUACAAUUGUUUGCUAAUAUUAAGUAUCAAAACAGACGUAGUGGAACAAACUUAGGGAAAGUAAAUACAGCAAAGCAAAAAUUAUGCCACGAACACCCCAAAGGAGCAAAACACUUACUUGUCUCUGAAUAAUAACAGCAUUCUUUGUUUUUCUUUCCAGAAAAAUCAGGUCAUAAGCAGCACCAUUGAAAGGCUUUUCGACUUGGUUGUUACAGUCAGAAGGCCACCAACUAGCAGUAUUUAGAAGCAGUUGCUAUAUUCAGUGCUUUCAUUUUCCUUCUUAAACAAGCCAAGGGAAUUGCCUGCUAACAAACUGUCAUGUCUCUAAACUAUUAUUGAAAAUAGAGCUCCAAAAGUUGUUUGAAUGUAAUAGUUUAACUCCAUUAAAUUUGCUUUAUUGGUUUCUA